GCAACUCCCAACGUGGGAUUAUAUUUUACCUUUCAUUAUCUGUAUAGAUGAGCAGCCAACUUCUCUGUAUGAGGUUUAUAUGAAAGAUCUUUAAUUCUAGCCUUCUAUUUUCAGGCACUCUCUCAGGAAACUUUUCCUCCAAUUUUUAAAAGAAAGAUACUGUUUUUAAACAUGAUUGGAUGUUCAUUUUGGCAAAUUGUACUUUACAGCACAAUGCACCCUCUCAACCAGUCUGUUCUCAAGAACCCAAGAAUAUGGGCAUGGUGAUGAAGUUAUUAUCUGAAGAUGUGGAAGGGGCCAAGCAAGAGGGUUUCAAGUGAUGGAUACUAUACUUCCUCGCAGUGGCUGCUUACAAGGUGUGAAGAAACUAUGUCCAAUGUGUCUGCAUUUACUUUUUAAAAAUAAUUUAUUUAUUUUAAUUGGAGGCUAAUUACUUUACAAUAUUGUAGUGGUUGACAUGAAUCAGCCAUGGGUAUACAUGUGUUUCCCAUCCUGAAUUCCUCACCCACCUGCAUUUACUCUUUUUGAUUUUUUGAUUCUCUCUUGCUGGCCAACAACAUGAUUGAAACUUAACUGACUUG
rnacentral:lncRNA from 1 species